rnacentral:lncRNA from 1 species
AUAACCCGAAUCUGAAUGAUAUAUAGUUAUUUUGAAUAUAUCCGAACCAAUCCGAAACUGAAGUGUUAUAUCUGAAUCCGAUCCGUACUUGUAAAUUUACUAGAAUGGGACCAAUGAGGUGUUACAAAAUAGAACCAAAAUCCAAAACACCCGAUCCAAACCCGAACGGGUACCCGAACGCCCAUGCCUAGUUGAACUUAUAUAUUAAAUACUAUUUUUCAAUAUUAACAAAACUUUUAUUACUUUUAACAAAUUCUACUUACAUAUUGAAACGAAGAUAGUAUUCGAUUGUUAAUUGUUUUUUACCUUAACCAUUAUAAGAACAUAAUGACAUUUAU